GGCUGGUCCGCGUGCAGUGGUGUUUACAAUUAAUUGAUCACAGCCAGUUACAGAUUUCUUUGUUCCUUCUCCACUCCCACUGCUUCACUUGACUAGCCUUUU
ensembl:Y_RNA Y_RNA Y RNA